CGCGAAUUCGCCCUUCGGGGUGCAGCAGGCGCGAAAACUUUACAAUGCGGGAAACCGUGAUAAGGGAACUCCGAGUGCCCGUAAACGCGGGCUGUCCAUCUGCUUAAAAAACAGGUGAAGAAAGGGCCGGGCAAGACCGGUGCCAGCCGCCGCGGUAAUACCGGCGGCUCGAGUGGUGGCCACUAUUACUGGGCUUAAAGCGUCCGUAGCUUGGUUGUUAAGUCUCUUGGGAAAUCUGUCGGCUUAACCGACAGGCGUUUAAGGGAUACUGGCAAUCUAGGGACCGGGAGAGGUGAGAGGUACUCCAGGGGUAGGAGUGAAAUCCUGUAAUCCUUGGGGGACCACCUGUGGCGUAGGCGUCUCACCAGAACGGCUCCGACAGUGAGGGACGAAAGCUGGGGGAGCAAACCGGAUUAGAUACCCGGGUAGUCCCAGCCGUAAACGAUGCGCGUUAGGUGUAUCGGUGACCACGAGUCACCGAGGUGCCGAAGGGAAACCGUGAAACGUGCCGCCUGGGAAGUACGGUCGCAAGGCUGAAACUUAAAGGAAUUGGCGGGGGAGCAC
rnacentral:rRNA from 1 species